rnacentral:rRNA from 1 species
UGGGGGAUAUUGCACAAUGGGCGAAAGCCUGAUGCAGCGACGCCGCGUGGGGGAUGAAGGCUUUCGUGUUGUAAACCUCUUUCGCUAUCGAACAAGGCCCGCUUAGGGUGGGUUGAGGGUAGGUGGAGAAGAAGCGCCGGCUAACUACGUGCCAGCAGCCGCGGUAAUACGUAGGGCGCGCGCGUUGUCCGGAAUUAUUGGGCGUAAAGGGCUUGUAGGCGGCUUGUUGCGCCUGCUGUGAAAACGCGGGGCUUAACUUCGCGCGUGCAGUGGGUACGGGCAGGCUUGAGUGUGGUAGGGGUGACUGGAAUUCCAGGUGUAGCGGUGGAAUGCGCAGAUAUCUGGAGGAACACCGAUGGCGAAGGCAGGUCACUGGGCCAUUACUGACGCUGAGGAGCGAAAGCAUGGGUAGCGAACAGG